UUUACAGUGAGGUCUAUAAUCUUGGUGGACAAAUCGAAGUAUUGUCUUUCCACUGUAAGGGUGGACCAACAGAAUCAACACACUGAGCACAAUAUUGAAGCCGUUCUAAGUGGUUGGCGGUUUCAGGUGUGAGUGUGGACAGGCUUAA